CACGUAGGGCGCAAGCGUUGUCCGGAAUUAUUGGGCGUAAAGAGCUCGUAGGCGGUCUGUUACGUCUGCUGUGAAAACCCGGGGCUUAACCCUGGGCUUGCAGUGGAUACGGGCAGACUAGAGGCAGGUAGGGGAGAAUGGAAUUCCCGGUGUAGCGGUGAAAUGCGCAGAUAUCGGGAAGAACACCAACGGCGAAAGCACUCCGCUGGGCUGAUACUGACACUGACAGACGAAAGCUAGGGUAGCGAAUGGG
rnacentral:rRNA from 1 species